GCUUCGGCCCUGGGAGACUCUCAUGGGACUUCGAGGGACGGAGUUCGGAUCUCUCCCCCAUCCAGCCGCUGCUGCUGGGCGGGGGAGGGGCAGCCAUGCGGUAGGCCUGGGCCUGGACAGAGAUGGGAGUGAGGAGGCCUUGGAGGAUACGAGUGAUAAGAGUGGAGGAGGACAAAAGAAAUGAACGAGUGAUGGAGGUCUGGACCAGAGAGAGAGAGUGAGAGAUGUUGAAAGAAUGGAGAAGAUGGAGUGGCAUUUUAUGCUGGACUCUUUUGUGUAGCCAUGGACAGAGCCAUGUUUCCGUGUGAUACAGAGACUGAGUCCAGGGGGAGAAAUGUCCCAGUGCCAGAGAAGAUUCAGUGUGGGUACCCCUCGGCCCCAGGGGGUAUAUAAAAUAUGGGGGGGACGGAUGUCCCAGAGGUGAGAAGGUGAGAUACUGUGUUUUUCUGGAACUGGACAAAGCAUCCUUAAAAAAAGACAACCCUGGAAGCAGCCCUGAUCCCUGUUCGGUGGUGAGAGCACCGGAACAAGGACGGAAGAGGCCACCAUGACACAUGGAAGGACUCCCUCUCCUCUUGAGGAACUGAAAGUUUGAGCAAUCUAAAGGGUGGUGUUGGACCUAGAAUUGGUGAUUUUGGAGGAUGUAUUGUAUCGGGAAUUUAGGGGGGAGGAGGGGGAGAGUGUUUUUUUGUGAGGUUUUCAUUUUCCUUGUGGUUUUUUUUUCCCUCUUUUGUGUGUAGUUUUGUAGUUUAGUAAUUGUUUGUGUGUAGCUUAGUUAAUAAACUUUUCUGUAUGUUGAA